CCUACGGGGGGCUGCAGUGGGGAAUAUUGGACAAUGGGGGCAACCCUGAUCCAGCCACGCCGCGUGAGUGAUGAAGGCCUUCGGGUCGUAAAGCUCUGUGGGGAGGGACGAACGUCCCGUUGAAGAAACGGGGGUGACGGUACCUCCUUAGCAAGCACCGGCUAACUUCGUGCCAGCAGCCGCGGUAAUACGAAGGGUGCAAACGUUGCUCGGAAUCAUUGGGCGUAAAGCGCACGUAGGCGGCGCAACAAGUCGGACGUGAAAUCCCUCGGCUC
rnacentral:rRNA from 1 species